rnacentral:rRNA from 1 species
UACGUAGGGGGCUAGCGUUGCUCGGAAUCACUGGGCGUAAAGCGCACGUAGGCGGCUUUUUAAGUCAGGGGUGAAAUCCUGGAGCUCAACUCCAGAACUGCCUUUGAUACUGGGAAGCUUGAGUCCGGGAGAGGUGAGUGGAACUCCGAGUGUAGAGGUGAAAUUCGUAGAUAUUCGGAAGAACACCAGUGGCGAAGGCGGCUCACUGGCCCGGUACUGACGCUGAGGUGCGAAAGCGUGGGGAGCAAACAGG